GCUGGAGUCUGAGGUCAGGCUGCACUCCCAGCCCCGCUCCAGCUUUGCUGAUCUGUCUGAAGACCUCUGAGCCCACGGUGUUUCCAUCUUAGAGGUGGGAAGGGAUUUACCUGAAGCCCAAGACACCACAGGUCCUGGUCCCUGUGCUGGGCCUGAAGGAGCAGGUGAUGAUCGGCACCAGGAUGCUGGGAGUGUCCCUGGCAGAGGGCUCUGAUGGACAGUCAGGGGUGAGCAUCACCCUCAUGGACUCCAAGAAGAAUGAAGGACGCCCUGGAAGCUCGUCGAUGAAGGAUAUCGUCCCCCUGGGGCCUGAGGAAUCUGCCAUGGAGGUGGUCCAGAAGAAGAUCCGGG